UGACAGUACUCUACGGGGAGGCAGCAGUGGGGGAAUAUUGCACAAUGGGCGCAAGCCUGAUGCAGCCAUGCCGCGUGUGUGAAGAAGGACCUUCGGGUUGUAAAGCACUUUCAGUCGUGAGGAAGGUAGUGUAGUUAAUAGCUGCAUUAUUUGACGUUAGCGACAGAAGAAGCACCGGCUAACUCCGUGCCAGCAGCCGCGGUAAUACGGAGGGUGCGAGCGUUAAUCGGAAUUACUGGGCGUAAAGCGCAUGCAGGUGGUUUGUUAAGUCAGAUGUGAAAGACCCGGGGCUCAACCUCGGAAUAGCAUUUGAAACUGGCAGACUAGAGUACUGUAGAGGGGGGUAGGAAUUUCAGGUGUAGCGGUGAAAUGCGUAGAGAUCUGAAGGAAUACCGGUGGCGAAGGCGGCCCCCUGGACAGAUACUGACACUCAGAUGCGAAAGCGUGGGGAGCAAACAGGAUUAGAUACCCUGGUAG
rnacentral:rRNA from 1 species